CGCGCACCGGUGGGGUCCCUCGGCCUGGCUUGUGGGGAUCGGGCUGAAACCCCCAAGGGGUACUGGAUUGCAAGAGGGCACAGGCCAGGCUGAGGGACCCCACCGAUGCACA
rnacentral:pre_miRNA from 1 species